rnacentral:rRNA from 1 species
GAAUGCUGACAUAAGUAACGAUAAAGCGGGUGAAAAGCCCGCUCGCCGGAAGACCAAGGGUUCCUGUCCAACGUUAAUCGGGGCAGGGUGAGUCGACCCCUAAGGCGAGGCCGAAAGGCGUAGUCGAUGGGAAACGGGUUAAUAUUCCCGUACUUGGUGUUACUGCGAAGGGGGGACGGAGAAGGCUAUGUUGGCCGGGCGACGGUUGUCCCGGUUUAAGCGUGUAGGUGUGUGUUCCAGGUAAAUCCGGUUCACUUUAACACUGAGGCGUGAUGACGAGGCACUACGGUGCUGAAGCAACAAAUGCCCUGCUUCCAGGAAAAGCCUCUAAGCAUCAGGUAACAUCAAAUCGUACCCCAAACCGACACAGGUGGUCAGGUAGAGAAUACCAAGGCGCUUGAGAGAACUCGGGUGAAGGAACUAGGCAAAAUGGUGCCGUAACUUCGGGAGAAGGCA